CAAACACAUUAUAACAAAAAAGGAAGGCAUAAUACAUAGAUUUGCCCUUAAACUUGGCUUCAAAUUUUAAGUAUGACCUCAAACUUUCACAGUGCACAAAUAGGCACUUUAACUAUCCUAUUUUUUUAUAAAUACACACGUGAUUUUUGGACCCAAAGAGCGUGAAAUACAAUCGCGCCCACGUGUAUUAGUGAGCCACUCAAUAACUGCCAACUAAUUAAAUAUUUUACACGUCAUUAUUUUUAAAAAAAGUUACACGUCAUUUAAGAAGUAAAAAAAAAUUAAAAUUAAUUGUUUGCAGACCAAGAAAUCU